rnacentral:rRNA from 1 species
UACGAAGGGGGCAAGCGUUGUUCGGAAUUACUGGGCGUAAAGGGCGCGUAGGCGGUGCACUAAGUCAGGCGUGAAAGCCCUGGGCUCAACCCGGGAAUUGCGCUUGAUACUGGUGCGCUUGAAUCCAGGAGAGGUUGGUGGAAUUCCCAGUGUAGAGGUGAAAUUCGUAGAGAUUGGGAAGGAAACACCGGUGGCGAAGGGCGGCCAACUGGACUGGUAUUGACGCUGAGGCGCGAAAGCGUGGGGAGCAAACAGG